rnacentral:rRNA from 1 species
UGCAGUCGAACGGUAGCAGGAAGUGCUUGCACUUUGCUGACGAGUGGCGGACGGGUGAGUAAUACUUAGGAACAUGCCUUUGUGUGGGGGAUAACCAUUGGAAACGAUGGCUAAUACCGCAUAAUGUCUUUGGACCAAAGAGGGCUUUCGGGCUCUCGCGCAAAGAGUGGCCUAAGUGAGAUUAGCUUGUUGGUGAGGUAAAGGCUCACCAAGGCGACGAUCUCUAGCUGUUCUGAGAGGAAGAUCAGCCACACUGGGACUGAGACACGGCCCAGACUCCUACGGGAGGCAGCAGUGGGGAAUAUUGCACAAUGGGGGCAACCCUGAUGCAGCCAUGCCGCGUGUGUGAAGAAGGCCUUCGGGUUGUAAAGCACUUUCAGUUGUGAGGAAAGGUUGAUGGUUAAUACCCAUCAGCUGUGACGUUAGCAACAGAAGAAGCACCGGCUAACUCCGUGCCAGCAGCCGCGGUAAUACGGAGGGUGCGAGCGUUAAUCGGAAUUACUGGGCGUAAAGCGCACGCAGGCGGUUAUAUAAGCUAGAUGUGAAAGCCCCGGGCUCAACCUGGGAAUAGCAUUUAGAACUGUAUGACUAGAGUCUUGGAGAGGGGAGUGGAAUUCCAGGUGUAGCGG